AGAGACAGCUGGGAUCUGGUGUUGCUGUGGCUGAGGCAUAGGCCAGCAUCUGUAGCCCUAAUUCGACUUCUGACCUGGGAACUUCAUAUGCCAUAGGUGCAGUCCUAAAAAGAUAAAGGAAAGGAAAAGCCUUCUGGCUAGAGAGCAUGUUCGCUGCGCAGCGGCACCUCCUUGCCUACUGAUAAGAAAAGCGCAGGUCAUCAUGUUGCCCACAAUCCUUGUGAGCUCAUUUCUGCACCUAGUUGCCAACAUCAGUAGGCAGGAUUGGGGAUUGGUGCCCACAUUACUAGAAACAUAAAUGAUUAAAUUUGUGCCUUGAGAACCGCAUAAGAUUCUAUGCGAGGUGCAGACAGGUAUUUGGCUUUCCAAAGAAGAGAUAUCAUCAUUGCGUCUUUCUUUUAUACUAGAAUUCAUGAAGAACAAACCUGUGCAAAGGACUGUGGACAAUGUCGACUUGGACUAGGUCUCGGUUAGCCUCACCCCAGGGCUUUUCCCACAUUCAUCUCUACAGCGCUUAGAGCUCUUGCAGCAUCUGUUAGGCCAGCGUAAAUAGCAUGGGAUGAAUGUUGCUCUUAAAUAUAAUAAGAUAAAAUAAUUUUUAAACUAUAAAUAUCCUUUUCAAAUGUCAUUUUGUCUUCAGCAUUUUUCUCAUCAGAGGAACAAGAACUAUUGAGUUGGAAAAGAGAGGAGGAGUCCCUGCACUAACAGACCUCAGAGUUAGAAGCAAUUGAAUUCAGGGCAUAUUUGAAUAUUUCUCUAAAGAAAAAAAUUAUUUUAGACUGCUUUUUACUUGUAGUAGACUCUAGAUAUUUUUUCUGUUUAAGUCAGUGAGCCUGCAAUAAACUACAUGUCUUUAGAAUGUAUGUCAGAGUCAGAUGGCCUUUUAUUCUAUCACGUCUAAUUUUUCAACUUGUCUUCUUCAAAUGUAUUGUUUCCUGUAAAUCCUUAAUGUACUAUUAGUGUCAAAUUCAGAAAUGGAUUAUCUGUUUAAAUAUUUAUAAACCUAAGCAGGGUGUUUUCUGUGAUUAUUGCCACAUAAAUUACUGAUUUUAGAGAGAGUGCACAUUUUCAAACAUUGAGACCAAUUUUUUUUUUCAUUAAAAAAUUUCUAGGAGUUCCCGUCAUGGCUUAAUGAUUCGUUAACCACCGAGCCACAAAGGAAACUCCUGUUCAACAGACUUUGAGUGAAUGUCUCAGGAGAAGUGACUGGGUAGCUCCCAUUCCAAAAGCAUUUCAGUGCCUGGAGGGAAGACAGACUGUUAUAUCAAAUAAUCACAAUAAAAAAGAUAGGGAGACAGCUGAGUAUUAUCAAACAGUAGCAAUUCUUAUGUUCUGUGUUUUUCUGUUUCCCGUGUAUUCUUUUUUAUUUUUUGGCCAUGCCACAGUGUCUGGAAGUUACCAGGCCAGGAUCAAACCUGUACCAUAGCUGCAAUCCAAACCACAGAAGUCACAAUGCCAGAUCCUUAACCCACUGUGCCACCAGGGAACUCAGCUCGCUCAUAUUCUUAUGUUGAAGUAAUAAUCCCCAAUGAGAUGGCAUUAGGGGGUGGGGCCUUUAGAAGGCAGUUUGGUUUAGAUGAAGUCAUAGGGAUGAGGUCUCCAUAACAGGAUUAGCAUCCUUACAUGGAGAAAAAGAGACUAGAGCUUUCUCUCUCUACCAUGUAAGGACACAGCAAGGAGAUAGCACUGCAAACCAGGAAGAGGGCCUUUACUAGAACCUGACCAAGCAGGUACCCUGACCUCAGGUUUCCCGGCCUCCAAAACUGUAAGAAAUAAAUUUUCUAUUGUUUAAGCCACCCAGUCUAUGGUACUUUUGUUACAGCAGCCUGAGCUGACUAAAACAGCAAUUAACUGUUCCCCAAAGUUAAGUGCGGGUGUGGGCCUACUGCUCCAGAGGCAGUAUCACCCAACGCACAGAUUCAAGACCUUGGUCAAAACCUUCCGGUAAGUCUCCUUCCAGGUGCUGGCUUGUCUUAAAUUCCUCACGCUCUUCCUCUCAGUAGUAAAUCAUCACUAAUGCUGACUAAAUGGAAAAGUCCUGCUUAACCACUGGAGACUCCGGGUGCCAGGUGCUCCUGAAAUAUCACAGGCAGAGUUUCUGCUACAAGGUGGUUAAAAAAAAGUACUCCAGUAAGGAUAACCUGACCCCCUUGCUGUACAGUGGGAAAAUUAAAAAAAAAAAAAAAAAAAAAAAA
rnacentral:lncRNA from 1 species